CUACGGGGGGCUCCAGUGAGGAAUAUUGCACAAUGGAGGAAACUCUGAUGCAGCAACGCCGCGUGGAGGAUGACACUUUUCGGAGCGUAAACUCCUUUUAUAUAGGAAGAAGAUGACGGUACUAUAUGAAUAAGCGCCGGCUCACUCCGGUGCCAGCAGCCGCGGUAAUACGGAGGGCGCAAGCGUUACUCGGAAUCACUGGGCGUAAAGAGCGUGUAGGCGGAUUAAAAAGUCAGAAGUGAAAUCCUAUAGCUUAACUAUAGAACUGCUUCUGAAACUCUUAAUCUAGAAUAUGGGAGAGGUAGAUGGAAUUUCUGGUGUAGGGGUAAAAUCCGUAGAGAUCAGAAGGAAUACCGAUUGCGAAGGCGAUCUACUAGAACAUUAUUGACGCUGAGACGCGAAAGCGUGGGGAGCAAACAGGAUUAGAUACCCUUGUAGUC
rnacentral:rRNA from 1 species